UCUCUCGUCGACUAGUUGGUUAGGUCGCCAGACUUUCAAUCUGUAAACACGGGUUCGAAUCCCGUCGAGAGAA
rnacentral:tRNA from 1 species